rnacentral:rRNA from 1 species
CAGCCGUAAACUAUGCGCGUUAGGUGUAUCGGUGACCACGAGUCACCGAGGUGCCGAAGGGAAACCGUGAAACGUGCCGCCUGGGAAGUACGGUCGCAAGGCUGAAACUUAAAGGAAUUGGCGGGGGGAGGCACCACAACGGGUGGAGCCUGCGGUUUAAUUGGACUCAACGCCGGGAAGCUCACCGGAUAGGACAGCAGAAUGAUUGCCGGGCUGAAGACCCUGCAUGACUAGCUGAGAGGAGGUGCAUGGCGUAGACGUCU